UGAAGCAUCCGUGUUUUAUUGGCUGAUAGCCUCGCGUCACCAGGCUCUUCCGGUAUCUAAACCGUUGGCGCGCUGGAGGGAGACGUUUUAGCAACAACACGAAAGAUCAUGGAUAUAAGACGUUUUUUCAAAAACAAGGAGGCUGACUCGGCUGAGGCUCACGUCUCCGGGGAGCCGUUACCAGAAACAGCAGAUUCAAAGGAUGGAAGGAAUGAGCAGAUGGAGAAAAAAGAGCAGCAGAGACAGAGGUGCAACACAACACAGUAGGGGUGGAAGGAAAAAUAAAAUACCAAAAAUUAAACUGA